UUUUUUCUCCUCACUCGCGGGGCCCACUGCCAUAACCAUCAUCAUCAAGCUUCAGCCAAACUGCAACGCACGAACGCAUCAACUUUUGCAGUUUCUUUACGUUUCUUCUCCAAUUGAUUCCGGGAGAAUUAAUCCACCUUUUGAUGCACCGUUUGUUGCUACUUAAGCUCCACUCUCUCCUCUUCAUUUGCCCUCAAACCGCACAGACCGAGAGCCUCCAGGCUGCUCGAAUUUUGCCUCGCAGUUUCGGGUACCGUCGCAUUGAAUCGACGAUUGCGCAAAUCGGCGGCAUCGUCGAUUUUGAAUCUCGCCGACGCCAGGAAGCACCUCCGUUCGACCUCCACGACCGUAGGAGACCACACCGGAACGCGCCGACCAAGCAGACGACCUCAACUCUCACACCGUACGCACCUUACCCAAACCGGAGGAUCGCCAGAACAUCGCCGCAGAGCACCGCCGAGCCGCAGGCGCCGUCACUGUCCUCACAUUCAACACUGCCGCCGCGAUUGUGAUUGUGCUGAUUGCAACGAGUGUUUUUGCGAAGAGUGUACCAACUCCUCAUCUCACCAAGG